rnacentral:rRNA from 1 species
CCUACGGGAGGCAGCAGUGAGGAAUAUUGGUCAAUGGACGCAAGUCUGAACCAGCCAUGCCGCGUGCAGGAUGACGGCUCUAUGAGUUGUAAACUGCUUUUGUACGAGGGUAAACCCCGAUACGUGUAUCGGGUUGAAAGUAUCGUACGAAUAAGGAUCGGCUAACUCCGUGCCAGCAGCCGCGGUAAUACGGAGGAUCCGAGCGUUAUCCGGAUUUAUUGGGUUUAAAGGGUGCGUAGGCGGUUUGAUAAGUUAGAGGUGAAAUGUCGGGGCUCAACCCCGAAACUGCCUCUAAAACUGGUGAACUAGAGUAUAGUUGAGGUAGGCGGAAUGUCUGGUGUAGCGGUGAAAUGCGUAGAGAUAAUACAGAACACCGAUUGCGAAGGCAGCUUACCAAACUAUAUCUGACGUUGAGGCACGAAAGCGUGGGUAGCAAACAGGAUUAGAUACCCGUGUAGUC